AUGUUGCCCGAAAGGAAGGAAUGGAAUGAGCCGCUCAUACGACAACUCUUCUACCCUUUUGACGCGGAUGAGAUUUGCAAGAUCAAUAUCCCGUUAUCAAAAGUAGGCGAUUGUGUUGCUUGGCAUCAUGAGAAGAAUGGAUCUUUCUCUGUUAGAAGUGCGUAUAAACUCGCGGCUACUCUCCGUGAUCAAGCGCAUCACAUCCCAUCGAGCUCCACAAGUGAUCCAAAUGACAGAAGUAUAUGGGAUCUCAUCUGGAAAACUAGAGUCCCGGGAAAGGUCCGUAUAUUUGCUUGGAGAGUGGCAACUAACACCCUGGCCACCAAGGAGAAUAAAUGGAAGAGAACGCUGGAAGUGGAUGCAACGUGCAGCUUAUGUGGUAAUGCCAAAGAGGAUGAAUACCAUGCUGUUAUUGCAUGUACUAAGAGCAGGGCCCUAAGGACGGCUUUGAGAGGUGUAUGGAGGCUACCGGCCGAACAUAAGCUAAGGUACACCGGUGUGGACUGGCUGCAGGUUGCCCUAUGCGCGGAGGAUGAAGAGAUGCGCGCCAAAUUGCUGCUUCUCCUGUGGCGCUGCUGGCACCUGAGAGAAGACAGCAUGCGGAAUAAUGGGAGAGAAUCGAUCGGGGCCUCGGUACAAUUCUUAUUGCAGUACGAGGAGGAUCUCAAAGGAGCAGGGGCAUUCGCUGAUAGGCUGAAAGGGCGCACAGAGCGUGAGGAUGGAGAGUCUAGUACAGGGCUGCUGCAAGUCAACCAAGAGAACAAGUGGAGAGCUCCGGGUCGCGGAACCGCAAAAAUCAACUCUGACGCUGCUUUCUGUGCAGCGAUAGGAGAGAGUGCGGCGGGGGUGGUUGCUCGAGACCAUAGAGGACUGGUUUUCCUGUCGGUCAGCAAAAAACUCCCGCCUUGCAACAGUGUGGAGGAGGCCGAGGCGCGUGCGGCUCUGGUCGGUUUACAGAUUAUGAGAAGAUAUUUCAAUGGCGAGGUGGUACUCGAGAUGGACAAUCAGGUAAUCAUCAAAGAGCUAACUGCCCAGCGUCCGACCCGAUGUGCCUACUACGGCCUAAUCAUGGAUAUGAAGGAGGAAAUGAAGGGUUUUGCUGCUUGCAACGUACAAUACGGAAGCAGGAAAUGCAACAGACUAGCACAUGAGCUAGCGGCUUUGAACAGGAGCAAGGGGGAUAAAAUGUUGAUCGAUCGCUGA
rnacentral:rRNA from 1 species